UCUCCGUAGGUGAACCUGCGGAGGGAUCAUUACUGAGUGAGGGUCUCCGGGCCCGACCUCCAACCCCAUGUGAACCGAAACCUGUUGCUUCGGGGGCGACCCUGCCGCUUCGGCGGUGCGGCGCCCCCGGAGGCCAUUAAACACUGCAUCUCUGCGUCGGAGUCUUAAUGAAUUUAAACAAAACUUUUAACAACGGAUCUCUUGGUUCUGGCAUCGAUGAAGAACGCAGC
rnacentral:misc_RNA from 1 species